rnacentral:rRNA from 1 species
CAUAGGUUAAUGAGGCGAACCGGGGGAACUGAAACAUCUAAGUACCCCGAGGAAAAGAAAUCAACCGAGAUUCCCCCAGUAGCGGCGAGCGAACGGGGAGCAGCCCAGAGCCUGAAUCAGUGUGUGUGUUAGUGGAAGCGUCUGGAAAGGCGCGCGAUACAGGGUGACAGCCCCGUACACAAAAAUGCACAUGCUGUGAGCUCGAUGAGUAGGGCGGGACACGUGGUAUCCUGUCUGAAUAUGGGGGGACCAUCCUCCAAGGCUAAAUACUCCUGACUGACCGAUAGUGAACCAGUACCGUGAGGGAAAGGCGAAAAGAACCCCGGCGAGGGGAGUGAAAAAGAACCUGAAACCGUGUACGUACAAGCAGUGGGAGCCUCUUUAUGGGGUGACUGCGUACCUUUUGUAUAAUGGGUCAGCGACUUAUAUUCUGUAGCAAGGUUAACCGAA